AAAAAAACAAACACUAAAUUCCCGUGUCCAACAUUUAACCGUCUGUUUUAUAUGAAACUUUUUAUAAUUAGUAUUUUUAUUGUUGUUAGAUGAUAAAACAUGAUUAAUACUUUAUGCGUGACUUGUCUUUUUAAUUUUUUUCAUAAUUUUUUUAAAUAAGACGGAUGGUCAAAUAUUAGACA
rfam:Oryza glaberrima chromosome 10 Oglab10_0118_41, whole genome shotgun sequence.